rnacentral:rRNA from 1 species
UACGCAGGGGGCAAGCGUUAUCCGGAAUUACUGGGUGUAAAGGGUGAGUAGGCGGCAUGGUAAGCCAGAUGUGAAAGCCUUGGGCUUAACCCGAGGAUUGCAUUUGGAACUAUCAAGCUAGAGUACAGGAGAGGAAAGCGGAAUUCCUAGUGUAGCGGUGAAAUGCGUAGAUAUCAGGAAGAACACCAGUGGCGAAGGCGGCUUUCUGGACUGAAACUGACGCUGAGGCACGAAAGCGUGGGGAGCGAACAGG